GGUUGUGAGACUUCGGUCUCUCGGCAGUAAGUCACCCCCUUCCAGUAUCCAGUAGUGGGUAUUCAGUUACUUACUAUUGUGUGUUGGUCGUUUACUGUGAGAAAAUUAGAGUGUUCAAAGCAGGCGUUUGCUUGAAUAGAUUAGCAUGGAAUAAUAAUUGAAGGCUUUCGUGUUCGAUUUGAUUGGUUUGUUCAUGGAAGCAAGGUUAAAAGGAACAGUUGGGGGUAUUCAUAUUCACUAGUUAGAGGUGAAAUUCUCGGAUUUAUGGAAGAUGAACAAGUGCGAAAGCAUUUACCAAGGAUGUUUUCAUUAAUCAAGAACGAAAGCUAGGGGAUCGAAGAGGAUUAGAUACCCUCGUAGUCUUAGCUAUAAACGAUACCGACUAGGGGUUAGUAGAGGUCAAAGUGUCUUUAUUAGUACCUUUAUGAGAAAUCAAAGUCUUUGGGUUCCGGGGGGGAGUAUGGGCCGCAAGGCUGAAACUUAAAGGAAUUGACGGAAGGGCCACCCAUCCAGGAGUGGAGCCUGCGGCUUCAUUUGACUCAACA
rnacentral:rRNA from 1 species